AGUAAAGUCUAUGGACCAAAUUGAGAAGGAUGUUAUCCUGAAGCAUGCAAACAGAAAGGGGGCUUGCUUUAGGAAACCCCAGACUCCCAGUGGCUUCAGUUAAGGACAUGAAGAUCAAGAUCUUUUCUUACCAGUGUCAGAUUACUCCACUGUGAAGUCUGUGAGAACUGAGGCUUCUAAUGCACGAUAUUAUACUCACGUAGUGUCUACCCCACCCAGAUCCAGAAAGAUCACUACUUACAACUUGCCUGAUGUAACAGAGAUGUGAGAGGAUGGUGAGGCUGAUUGAUCUCAGUGGAAUUCCAGGGUCACAGCCUGAACCAAUGGGUGGGCUAUGUGAGUGUGUAAGUGCGGCAGCGCGAC
ensembl:lncRNA